rnacentral:rRNA from 1 species
UACGGAGGGGCUAGCGUUGUUCGGAAUUACUGGGCGUAAAGCGCACGUAGGCGGCUUUGUAAGUUAGAGGUGAAAGCCCAGGGCUCAACCCUGGAAUUGCCUUUAAGACUGCAUCGCUUGAACAUCGGAGAGGUAAGUGGAAUUCCGAGUGUAGAGGUGAAAUUCGUAGAUAUUCGGAAGAACACCAGUGGCGAAGGCGACUUACUGGACGAUUGUUGACGCUGAGGUGCGAAAGCGUGGGGAGGCAAACAGG